AAAAAAGUAGGCAGUAUAUGGAUUUCUGUAGCCUGUCUGGAGUGAACUAGCUUGAACAGCAAUCUGGAAGGCAUGCCAGGCUGGUAGGGACAUCAUUAGUAUCCAGGCAUGGAUAAUAUGAUGUUUUAGUAGCUGACAGACUACAUGGUAACAUCACAGCCUUCACAGUUUGUGUGAGUACACUUAGGAUGUUCAUACCACAAUAAAGUCACCUAACAAUGAAAAUAUUCCUGUCAUUAAGCAAUUUCAUGACUGUGAUAGAAAAUUACUGUCAUUCUUUCUCUUAGUCUGCUGUCCUGAAGAUAGGCUUAUAGCCAGAUGAAUGUUUUGAUAAAGGCUGGAGUACAAGAUAGAAAAUAAAGAACACAUCAGAUUCUUGCAGAUGAUCUCUCCUCUGGUUGAAAUUAAUCAAAUUGCAAUUCCUUUAUGUUCCAUUUGGCUCAGGGGACCUGUGCCUUUUAUAUGUCUGCAGUCUUGGCCUUCAUGUUGAAGCUCUUCUCUCCAGACUGCCCUGCUACUGGGUUUUUGCCCACAACUUCCUAGAAGCCACUGUUUUCCAGGCAAGCAAGCUGCUUGCAUAUAUUCAGCGGCUAUUAUGUGCUAUUCUGACCAUCAUUUCUGCUCCCUUAGAAGCAUUCCAUUUAAUCCUCAUUUUCCUAAGUUCAAUUGGCCCAGGUUAUCUCCCACUUUCCUUUCAGAAACAUCUGUACUUCUAUUUUGGCAGUCAAAGCCAAAUUUUUUUUUUUUUUUUUUUUUUAAGAUUUAUUUAUUCAUUUGAAAGCCAGAGUUACAGAGAGAGGGGAGGGGGUCCUCCAUCCGAUGGCUAACUCCCCAGAUGACCACAAUGGCCAGAGCUGAGCCAAUCUGAAGCCAGGAGCUUCUUCCGAGUCUCCCAUGUGAGUGCAGGGGCCCAAAGACUUGGGCCAUCUUCUACUGCUUUCCCAGGCAGAGAACUGGAUUGGAAGUGGAGCAGCCGGAUCUUGAACCGGCGCCCAUAUGGGAUGUUGGUGCUUCAGGACAGGGCAUUAACCUGCUGCACCACAGCACCGGCCCCAUUUUAUUUACCCAUACAAAUUCCUUGUUGAGGAGAAUGGGGUGGAUGAUUGGGAAGUUUGAAAAAAAUUCAAAUAGUAUUUGUCAAUAAAGUCUUUUUUGUUGUUUUGUGGUGACUAUCAUAAUAGUUGGCAUUCUCUAAUUUUAAAGGUGAGAUUGCUUUAAUUUUAACUUUACUUGUAUAUAUAGUAUAUGCUUUGAGAGUCUGUGUUUUUCUUAAAAGCGGUGAGAAGAAAGUGUGUCAUGAACAUUUAUGUUUUUACUUGAAGUGACACUGACUGUUGAAAACUUGCUGACAUCGUAAGAAAGAACCCUUACUGCUUCAUUGACUAUAGUAGCAAAAGAAAUGGGAGUAAGCCAGGUCUCUGUGUGUAGCCAAGUCAGAGAAAUGUCUAUGAACUUAUGUGCUGAAUUAGAGUUUGAUAACUCUUAGCCAUACAUAUUUCUUACUUUGAUGUCUGAUUUUCAGUCAGACCAGGUGUUUUGUGUGUGUGUGUGUAUAUGGGGGUUAAUCUUAGAAUUUUGCACUUGGAAUUUUCUGAUUGAAUGAAGUGCUUGCUUGGGCAGCACAUAUACUUAAAAAAAAAAAAACAAUGAAUACCUACUUUCUAGUUAGGCAUAAUAUUUAUUCUCUUUUAAGUGUUUGGAAACAUGUGACAUAUUCAUUUCUAGCUUCUACUUUCUUUAUCAUGAUCUCUCAUCAUCAGUCAUGUUAGAUUCCCCAAUCUGACAUGGACAGAAGCUUGCCCUGAAUAAGUAGAGUAGAUAAAUGGUCUUUCUGUUCCUGGAAAAAAUUCAACGCACUUUUUAUAUUUGAUGUCACUAAAAACAGAGUGCUAUCAUAAAAAUGUUUAUGUAUCGCUUCUCAGCCUUUUGGGUAAGAUCAGGUGUAAAAAUGUUAUGCAAUGAGAUUUUAGUUUUAAGUCUGAAAAAUCAAAAUCAAAGGCGUCUUCCCACUCAUUUAAAAACAAUGACAGCAAAGGGUUUGCCACUUUUUACCUUGUAAUACUACUUAGCCUUAAAUUAGUAUAAGGCAAGCACAGUUUUGUGAACAAAAAUUACUCUAAGGAGUUUUUAUAUGAAUAUUUGUGGACUAUAUAUAUUUUAAAGAUUUUCAUUUAUUUAUUUGAGAGGCAAAGCUACAAACAGAGAGGGAGAGACAGAGAAAAAGGUCUUCCAUCUGCUGGCUCACUCCCCAAGUGGCUGCAAUGGCCAGAGCUGGGUUGAUGCAAAGCGAGGAGGUUCUUCUGGGUCUCCUACGCGGGUGCAGGGGCCCAAGCACUUGUAUCAUCUUCCACUGCUUUCCAGGCCAUAGAAGAGAGCUGGAUCAGAAGUUAAACAGCCGGGACACGAACUGGCUCACAUAUGGGCUGCCAUCACCUCAGGCAGAGGCUUAGCCUGCUAUGUCACAGUGCUAGCUCCUGGACUCUAUGCAUUUUAAAAUAUAUUUUUGAUUUAAAAUUUCGAUUGUGAUAAAUGACCAAGAUUGGAACAUUAGUACUAGAUUCUUGUGAGACCAUUCCUGAAAGUAUCCCUUCAUUGCCACACAAUAAUUUCUCAUUUUUAAAGAGAGAAAUCAGUGGAUGGGUGUUAUUUCCAAUGACAACUACUAGACAAUUAAAGUGUACAUUUCUUCACAUUUAAAACCAUUCUUAAAUCUUUGAAUGUAGCUAUAGCUUUCACACACCUCAGCAUAGCUUCCAUACACCCUAGUUCAAUUAUUUUGCUUCUUGUGUGACUCUGAUAAUAGAUACUCAUUGCAGUAAUAUUUGUUUUAAGUUUAUCUUAAGUUAAAUCUGUACAGGUAAAAGAGAAUAUGCAAAAUGCUCAUAAGUGACUCAUGUUAUCGUGAUUCGGUGUAACAUUAGCUGUAUUCAUGUGGCUGCUUUCACAGAGAUCCCUGAGGCAAGGCGAUUUGUAAACUCAACUAUCCAUUUAUGUUUUUGUUUGAUUCUUGAAACGAGUGGCCUCUGAUAAUCAGAAUUGAAGUGACUGUGUUCCGGUGGACACGUGUGUCUUCUCUUUAGCAUUCGCUCCUCUGAAGCUUUAGAUAGAAUGUUCCGGGUUAGAACAGUUGACUAAAUUGAGCUCAGAAAUGGACUCAGAAACACUUGCCAUAAAUAAUAAUCUGGUUUGGAUUUAGAAUUCUUUUGUGGAACCAGCUAAUGGAGGGUUAAAUAGAUAUGUGGUCUUUAAAAUAGUUUAGGAAAUGCAAACACUAGGAAAUAUAGAUUUUAGGGCAGGAACUAUUCAAAUCUAUAUUUCUAGGAGCUUCUUAGGGGCAAGGACUAGGCUUUCAUUAUCAUCAUUUUGAGCUCACUCUUAGCAAAUGGCUGGCACACAGUAGACAGCCAGCAGAUGAUAAUGAGGGUUAGAGUGAUACACUGGGAGGCACCCUAAGAGGGAGCAUGAUUGGGCAAAUCCACGGAAGUGGGAGUGAGACAGUAUAGAGCAGAGCUGGGGCAUGGCAUGGGUCAGCUUCCACCUGGCAAUGAAAUUGCCCAACUGGGGAAGAGGUAGAUCCUUAAAAUGGGCAUCUCAGAUAACAAAAUGAUGAGUUUUGUAAAAUUUCAUACAUCAUAUAUUGUAAUGAUAUGCAGUAUACCUUAUAAUAUAAACAACUCACACAUGCUAUAGCCAUGUCAUCAGCAAUAUAACAUAGAAUGCCAUUUGUCCAGCUCUCUGCUGUGGCCAGAGAGUGCAGUGGAGGAUGGCCCAAGUACUUGGGCCCUGCACCCCAUGGGAGACCAGGAGAAGCACCUGGCUCCUGCCAUCGGCAGCGCGGUGCGCCGGCCACAGCACGCCGACCGCGGCAGCCAUUGGAGGGUGAACCAACGGCAAAAGGAAGACCUUUCUCUCUGUCUCUCUCUCUCACUGUCCACUCUGCCUGUCAAAAAAAAAAAAAAAAAAAAAAAAAAGAA